rnacentral:rRNA from 1 species
GAUGAACGCUAGCUACAGGCUUAACACAUGCAAGUCGAGGGGAAACGACAUCGAAAGCUUGCUUUUGAUGGGCGUCGACCGGCGCACGGGUGAGUAACGCGUAUCCAACCUGCCCACCACUUGGGGAUAACCUUGCGAAAGUAAGACUAAUACCCAAUGACGUCUCUAGCAGACAUCUGAACGAGAUUACAGAUUUAUCGGUGAUGGUGGGGGAUGGGUCUGAUUAGCUUGUUGGCGGGGUAACGGCCAACCAAGGCGACGAUCAGUAGGGGUUCUGAGAGGAAGGUCCCCCACAUUGGAACUGAGACACGGUCCAAACUCCUACGGGAGGCAGCAGUGAGGAAUAUUGGUCAAUGGGCGAGAGCCUGAACCAGCCAAGUAGCGUGCAGGAUGACGGCCCUAUGGGUUGUAAACUGCUUUUAUAAGGGAAUAAAGUGAGUAUCGUGAGACUUUUUGCAUGUACCUUAUGAAUAAGGACCGGCUAAUUCCGUGCCAGCCGCCGCAGUAA